ACAAGUUUCCACAUAUAUUUCAUUGAGUUACAUUUUUUUCCCCCAACCAACUAGAGACGAAUGUGUUCUUGACUUUUAUUAGUUUUAUGAACAUGGAUGGCUCAUAUGUAGGUCAGUGAAACAAAAAAUUAUAAAGCCAGCCACUUUAAAAUACAAGGUAUCAAGUAGGACUCAAAGUAAACUAUUUACACAGAGAUACUUCACCAAAACACACACACACCAACACUUUUUUAAAAAGCAUUUUUUCAUUAAAAAAAAAAUAUUUAAAAAAAAAAUACAAUUAAAAUAUCUUAUUAUCUCCCUUGCAAGGAAAAAAAAUUUUUCGACUAACCAUAAAAUGUGAAUCAUGAAUAGUGUAUAACUUUUUAGUUUACAUUUCAUAGUACAAAUAUUGACACUUUAACCAUCAGUCAAAACACAAGUAAGUCAUAAGAUACAAUAUGUCAAUGUGAAGUUAUGUACAGUUUUGAUUCAUAAUUUGACAAUCAACAUCAAUCAUUUAUCAAAGACACUUUCUCUUUAUACUCAUUUUUUUUUUUAUUACCACCCUCCCCCAUUUUCUUUCUUGAAAAAAAAAAAUUGUAACUUGCAUACUAAAAGAAAAAAUCAAUGAGAAUGUGGUCAACAGAAGAGUCACAGUGCAUACCUGUUGAGUUGACCAAAAUUAAGUUGCUAGAUACAACAGACUUAAAUAUUUAAUUAAAAAAACACUUUCAUGUACCUAGCACAUAUGACCUUCAAAUACAUGGUAUAUUCAAUUACCUCUAUAGCAUUAUCAGAUUGUUUAGUUAAAGCUAUUUCUAGUUAGUAUUUAGCAGUGCUACUCUCUCUCUCUCUCUAUGUGUUAUACAAGUUAUAUCUAGUAGUUAGUAUUUAGCAGUGCAACUCUCUCUCUCUAUGUGUUAUAC